rnacentral:rRNA from 1 species
CCUACGGGCUGCACCAGUGGGGAAUAUUGCACAAUGGGCGCAAGCCUGAUGCAGCCAUGCCGCGUGUGUGAAGAAGGCCUUCGGGUCGUAAAGCACUUUCAGCGGGGAGGAAGGCGCCAAGGUUAAUAACCUUGGCGAUUGACGUUACCCGCAGAAGAAGCGCCGGCUAACUCCGUGCCAGCAGCCGCGGUAAUACGGAGGGUGCAAGCGUUAAUCGGAAUUACUGGGCGUAAAGCGCACGCAGGCGGUCUGUCAAGUCGGAUGUGAAAUCCACGGGCUCAACCUGGGAACUGCAUUCGAAACUGGCAGGCUAGAGUCUUGUAGAGGGGGGUAGAAUUCCAGGUGUAGCGGUGAAAUGCGUAGAGAUCUGGAGGAAUACCGGUGGCGAAGGCGGCCCCCUGGACAAAGACUGACGCUCAGGUGCGAAAGCGUGGAGAGCAAACAGGAUUAGAUACCCCCGUAGUC